UACGGAGGAUCCAAGCGUUAUCCGGAAUCAUUGGGUUUAAAGGGUCCGUAGGCGGCCUUAUAAGUCAGCGGUGAAAGUUUUCAGCUUAACUGAAAAAUUGCCAUUGAUACUGUAGGGCUUGAAUUUUUGUGAAGUAACUAGAAUAUGUAGUGUAGCGGUGAAAUGCUUAGAUAUUACAUGGAAUACCAAUUGCGAAGGCAGGUUACUAACAAACGAUUGACGCUGAUGGACGAAAGCGUGGGGUAGCGAACAGG
rnacentral:rRNA from 1 species